CGGCGGACGGGUGAGUAACGCGUGGGUAACCUGCCUCAUACAGGGGGAUAACAGUUAGAAAUGACUGCUAAUACCGCAUAAGCGCACAGUACCACAUGGUACGGUGUGAAAAACUCCGGUGGUAUGAGAUGGACCCGCGUCUGAUUAGCUGGUUGGCGGGGUAACGGCCCACCAAGGCGACGAUCAGUAGCCGACCUGAGAGGGUGAGCGGCCACAUUGGGACUGAGACACGGCCCAA
rnacentral:rRNA from 1 species